GGGCGGUUAGUCUCAGCGGUAGAGCGUCCCCUUCACACGGGGAAGGUCAUAGGUUCGAUCCCUAUACCGCCCACCA
rnacentral:tRNA from 1 species